rnacentral:rRNA from 1 species
GCCGCCAGCUCGUACGCGACCCCAGGUCAGGCGGGGCUACCCGCUGAGUUUAAGCAUAUCAAUCUAUAGCGGAGGAAAAGAAACUAACGAGGAUUCCCC